rnacentral:rRNA from 1 species
GAGCCUACGGGACGCAGCAGUGAGGAAUAUUGGUCAAUGGGCGCGAGCCUGAACCAGCCAAGUCGCGUGAGGGAGGACGGCCCUACGGGUUGUAAACCUCUUUUGCCGGGGAGCAACGGGCGUCACGUGUGGCGCCACUGAGAGUACCCGGUGAAAAAGCAUCGGCUAACUCCGUGCCAGCAGCCGCGGUAAUACGUAGGGGGCGAGCGUUAUCCGGAUUCAUUGGGCGUAAAGCGCGCGUAGGCGGCCUGUUAGGUCGGCGGUCAAAUACCGGGGCUCAACCCCGGUCCGCCC